UUAGACCCUUCUGCAGUGCCCUUCCCUCCUGUACCCCGGCUGCAGCGGGCAGUGACCCUCGGUCUGUGCUGGAGGGGCUGUGCAGAGCUGCCUCCGCUCCUCCGGUUGUUGGGGGCUCCGUGCUGAGAGCUCGUCUCUGCUGCAUUUCGCCAUCAAGGAGCACACUCGAGGCUUGGCUUGUGCCCCUGAACAAGGGGCAGUAAAACGGGCCACAGUACUGAGGGAAGGGGGAAGGCUGGCCCAGGCAGCCGUGCUGGAAUACCCUCGCACCGAGGGGAUGUUCCUGAGGACGCUCCUGGGAAAAGACAUCUCAGCUCUGUGGUGCCAGUCAGCCUUCAUGCAGCUCACUGAUCCCCAUGUCACUGUGGGCUUGGCUUCCUCCCCCAGCAAACAAACCUGAAGAGCCCUGGGUGCCAGGAGGGCAGGGGAUGUCUCUCUUCUGAGGAGUUCCCUGUGUUUCAGUGCUGCUGUCAUCCCUUUCAUGGAAUCAUAGAAUAGGCUAAGCUGGAAGGACCCAUCAGGAUCAGUAAGUCCAAUUUCUGGCCCUGCACAGACACCCUAAGAAUCUCAUCAUCUGCCUGAAAGUGUUGUCCAAGUGCUUUAUGAGCUCUGGCAGCCUUGGGGUCAUCACCACGUCCCUGGAGGGCCUGUCCCAGUUUUCAGUCACCUUCUGGAUGAAAAAACAUUUCCUGAUGUCCAACCUAAAUAUCAUGUCCCCGUGCCCCUUUCCCUCCCCCUAAAUGAUGUCCCUUCCUUCUGUGCGUGUUUGUUCAUAGGGGAUGUGGCUGUCCCAGAUGUCCCCUGGUGCUACACCAGUGACUGCUCCCAAAGCCCAAGAGUGGGGAGGGGACACUGCACCACUGCAGGUGCCACCAGGUCCCCCUUGCCCAGAUGUUGCCAGUUGGAUGCUGCAAGUUCUCAGGUCUCAAAACUGUAUUUUAUAAAUCUCAAUGUCUGGUGAUGCUGCUAGAGAAGGAAAACCCACAGACUUGUGAGAAGCCAGUGUGAGAAAUAAGUGGAAACUUGCUGCAUCACUGAGACUCUGAGGGCAGAUCCAAGGGACUCGUGCUGCAUCCAUGCAGGAACACAUACAGCAGGUCUGUGUGCCAGCUGUGUCAGGGAUCCCCCAGCUUCACACACUUUCCGUGGGAUUCCAAAAUGCAAGAGCUCCACGCCUCUGCAGAAUGUCAUUAUUGUUUAUAACUUGAGAUUUGUGUCUCAGAGAGAAAUGAAUUGCUCAGUCUAUUUCUCGUUUUGCAGAUGCAGUAAAUUAACUACUACAUAAACCCAGUUGGUUGACUGAAGGGGAAAAAUGCAUUCAGGCAGGAGGCAGAGGCCUGGCCUCAGUGGGGUUCUGUGGGGGCACAGGGGAGGUGACAAUGUGCGAGCUGUCCACUCCAAGGUGCAGCCUGCAGCAUCCUCUGACAGCACAGCAGCAAUAUUGAGGAAUAAAUUAGCUUUCUUUUUCA
rnacentral:lncRNA from 1 species